UUCCGGCUUCCCUGCUCCCACAAAAUGGUAGCCGCCGUGGGGGAUGUCCAGUUUUUUUUCCUCUUCCCAAGUACAGACGCAGAGCAGACUUGUCUUUCCGCUUAACCUCAACCUCGUGUGAUCUGCCAGUUUCGCUCCCGGUUAGCCCAGGACUUUUUAUAGCAUAGAGUUUUAAAGCAAGGGCUUAGAAUCAGACCUGGGUCAAAAUCCUGCCUUCCACCUUCACCAAGGCAGUGUGACCUUGACGUUCCUACAUAAGAGAUUAAAAUGUAAACCCUUAGCCCUGAGCUUGUUUUAGAAUCUGGGCCCCGUCCAUGACUGCUUCUAUUCUAUUGCGGUACGGGGGUGGGGUGGGGGUGGGGAACUACAUGCAUGUCCACUCAGUAUACUGAAACUGGUUACAUUGAUGGAAAACUUCCAAAGCUUCUUGAAAUAAAGGCGCCAAAUUCCAGCGAAACAGCUGAUGCCAGCCAGCUUGAAGACCCCUGCCACAGAAGAAGGGAAUCAGCAUGAGAAUACAGCUUCUUCAUCUCGCUGUCCCAUGACUUCGCCCUGUACUCUUCAGCCAAUUAAUGAUCUCCACACUUGGGACCACUCUAAAACCCUUAAGAACCUGAGACUCAAAGUCCUCCUGGAGACGAAUUUGAGGUUUCCUCCUAUCUGUGUUUGGUGGCCCUAUGAUUAAACCUCUUUCUCUUCUGCAACGGGGAAUACUGGAAGAUAGGCCUGCAGAGGAACAUGUCAGAAUGAUCACACUAUUUGUGGGUGUGUAAUCUGGAAGCUGUACCAUGAUUAGUUGAAAGAGAGACUGAAGGCAAGAAAAACAGUGUGGUGACUUGGAGAAGAACCAAGACAUAAGGAAAUGAAGACCUACUCUUGGGUGAUGACAGUAAAAAUAAUGGAAUAGGCCUGAGAGACAGGAAAAGGGAGAACUGAUGAGACUCAGUUACUGAUAGGGCUAAAGAGGAGGAAGGACAGGGCAAGGUGGCUCACGCCUGUAAUCCCAGCACUUUGGGAGGCAAGGCAGGAAGAUCACUUGAGCCCAGGAAUUCAAGACCAGCCUGAGCAACAUGACAAAACCCCAUCUCUACAAAAAAUAC
rnacentral:lncRNA from 1 species